AAGCAAGGGAAAACCUGAUCUUGUGCGAAAGGAAGCCAUUUCUUCCAGUUGCGCAUAUCCUCAAACUCAAGAGUCUCCAAUACUGGAAAAGGCAAGCUACUCUCUCCAUAGAACUCAGGACCGACACUUCUCACUGCAGCCAUUCCUGUAAUAUAAAGUUCUUUGAGCAAAGGCAGUUGCCCAAGUGGUGGCAAGAUUUGACAAUUUUUACAUUUGUGUAAGCGUACAUGCACCAUAGUGGAGAAUAAACGAUCUCCAAUCCAUGUUGAAAAUUCUAAUCCAGCAUAACCCCUGAUGAUGAGUUUUUCAAGCUUUCUAUGAGGUUCUAAUCUGUCAAGCACGCCUAUUUGCGUUUCUUGUGUCAACCAUUCUAGCAUCAAUUCAUCUACUCUCUCCUUGGAUUUUAAGUCGGCCUUCCGUGCAUCCUCAGCAUCGAUCACAUUCUCCAACCUUGAGAGCGAUAAUGUCCCUCGGAGAUGGGAUAGGGAUCCUAUCUCUCUUAUCCCUGAUUCAUCACUACCUUUACCCACCACAAAAUUAGGCAAAGACUGCAGAUUCGUCAACCGACCUAGUUGCGGAGGCAUUGCUUUUAGUGAAUCUACCUUUGAAUUGUUGAGAUGACGCAGAUUCACUAGAUUCCUCAAGUUUAUGGGUAGUGCCUCCAAAAAACUACAACCUUCCAAUAUCAGUGUCUGUAAGUUGAAAAGAGUGGUUGUUGAUUCAGGCAAACUUGUUAUAUCUGUGUGAGAAAAAUCAAGAUACCGCAGAUACUUCAAAUUACCAAUUGAAUCUGGCAGCUCAGUCACUCGAUAGCCAUUCAAAGAAAGCACCCGUAAGUAUUGCAUCUGAGGUAAUAAAUCAAAAAUUACCUUUCGAGCCAGAUAUCGAAUCCACCCAGUAUUUGAUAGUGAAAGUGGCAGGAAUGUUCGCAAACGUUUAACUUCGGGAAAGGCCUCAAACUUUUGAACUCCAUCAUAGUGACCAAUUAUGAAAGACGAAUGACGAAAGCAUACAGAUUGCAAGUUAUCACCUUUCUUGUCCUCCAAUCUAAAACAAGUAUUUCCUGCUGCCCAUUGUGCCAAAUCAGUAACAAGGUCAUGCAUUACAUACCGUGAAUUGUUUUCACUUGCCUUUUGAAAUAAUGACCUACAUAAUAGCUCUUGAAAAUAGUCGUGGC
rnacentral:lncRNA from 1 species